CACGUAGGGCGCAAGCGUUGUCCGGAAUUAUUGGGCGUAAAGAGCUCGUAGGCGGUCUGUUACGUCUGCUGUGAAAACCCAGGGCUUAACCCUGGGCUUGCAGUGGAUACGGGCAGACUAGAGUGUGGUAGGGGAGACUGGAAUUCCUGGUGUAGCGGUGAAAUGCGCAGAUAUCAGGAGGAACACCGAUGGCGAAGGCAGGUCUCUGGGCCACUACUGACGCUGAGAAGCGAAAGCAUGGGGAGCGAACAGG
rnacentral:rRNA from 1 species